rnacentral:rRNA from 1 species
AUGGCGGAGAACAGGAGCUCUCAGAGGAGGCAGGGGAAGGAACCUACGGAAGAAUUGUUGGCCCGGCUAACGCUGCAGGAGGAAGAAGAGGACGAGUUCAUCUGGGAGGAGGAGCUGCCGGAUAUGGUAGAACCGGUGAAGUGGUUAGCAAUUGCCCGAGUCCACACACCAAAGACCUUCAGCCCUAAUGCGCUGUAUAAUGACAUGCGCGCUGCUUGGAACCCUGCUAAACAGGUGGCAUGGAGGAAGAUCAAGACCAAUUUGUUCACAGCGCAGUUUGGAUGCCUGGGUGAUUGGAACAAGGCAAUGUUUGAAGGGCCGUGGCUAUUCAGGGAGCAGGCUGUGAUCAUGGAGGAAUAUGACGGGUUAAAAAACCCUGAUGCUUUCGAGCUAGACAAGCUCUCUGUCUGGGCACAAAUUCACCGUUUGCCGGAUAAGUUCUUGAUCGACCGGGCUGUAAAGGGUUUGGCAUCUAGGAUUGGAGAGGUGGAAGAGGUGCAACUGAAGCUACCGGCGGUUUUUUUGGAGAAUUUGUGA